rnacentral:rRNA from 1 species
UACGAAGGGGGCUAGCGUUGUUCGGAAUUACUGGGCGUAAAGCGCACGUAGGCGGAUUGUUAAGUUAGGGGUGAAAUCCCGGGGCUCAACCCCGGAACUGCCUUUAAUACUGGCAAUCUCGAGUCCGAGAGAGGUGAGUGGAAUUCCGAGUGUAGAGGUGAAAUUCGUAGAUAUUCGGAGGAACACCAGUGGCGAAGGCGGCUCACUGGCUCGGUACUGACGCUGAGACGCGAAAGCGUGGGGAGCGAACAGG